GCUAGCGUAGCUUAAUAUAAAGCAUAGCACUGAAGAUGCUAAGACGGGUUUUAGAAGACUCCGCAUGCA
rnacentral:tRNA from 1 species